UAGCCAUGAUGUGGACAAAUGUUUAAAAGUUCCUUAAACUUCUCCCAACAUUAGAAGAAUGUUUCUUCCUCAUUUUGUGAAAAAUUCAUUAUGGCUCUUCUGAGGGU